UAACCUGCCUUUAAGACGAGGAUAACAAGUGGAAACAUUUGCUAAGACUGGAUAGGAAAUAGAAGGAUAACCUUUUAUUUUUAAAAGACCUUCUUCGGAAGGUAUGCUUAAAGAAGGGCUUGCGCCACAUUAGUUAGUUGGUAGGGUAAAAGCCUACCAAGACUAUGAUGUGUAGCUGGACUGAGAGGUUGAACAGCCACAUUGGGACUGAGACACGGCCCAAACUCCUACGGGAGGCAGCAGUAGGGAAUUUUCGGCAAUGGAGGAAACUCUGACCGAGCAACGCCGCGUGAACGAAGAAGUAUUUAGGUAUGUAAAGUUCUUUUAUUGAAGAAGAAAAAAUAGUGGAAAAACUAUCUUGACGCUAUUCAAUGAAUAAGCCCCGGCUAACUAUGUGCCAGCAGCCGCGGUAAGACAUAGGGGGCGAGCGUUAUCCGGAAUUAUUGGGCGUAAAGGGUGCGUAGGCGGUUAGAUAAGUCUAUAAUUUAAUUUCAGUGCUUAACGCUGUUCUGUUAUAGAAACUGUCUAGCUAGAGUGAGAUAGAGGCAAGUGGAAUUCCAUGUGUAGCGGUAAAAUGUGUAAAUAUAUGGAGGAACACCAGAAGCGUAGGCGGCUUGCUGGGUCUUUACUGACGCUGAGGCACGAAAGCGUGGGUAGCAAACAGGAUUAGAUACCCUGGUAGUCCACGCCGUAAACGAUGAGUACUAAGUGUCGGGGUUAAACUCGGUACUGAAGUUAACACAUUAAGUACUCCGCCUGAGUAGUACGUACGCAAGUAUGAAACUUAAAGGAAUUGACGGGACUCCGCACAAGCGGUGGAUCAUGUUGUUUAAUUCGAAGAUACACGAAAAACCUUACCAGGUCUUGACAUACUCUGCAAAGCUAUAGAAAUAUAGUGGAGGUUAUCAGGGAUACAGGUGGUGCAUGGUUGUCGUCAGCUCGUGUCGUGAGAUGUUAGGUUAAGUCCUAAAACGAGCGCAACCCUUGUCGUUAAUUGCCAGCACGUUAUGGUGGGGACUUUAGCGAGACUGCCAAUUAAAAAUUGGAGGAAGGUGAGGAUUACGUCAAAUCAUCAUGCCCCUUAUGAUCUGGGCUACAAACGUGAUACAAUGGCUGUUACAAAGAGUAGCUGAAAUGCGAGUUUUUAGCCAAUCUCAAAAAAGCAGUCUCAGUUCGGAUUGAAGUCUGCAACUCGACUUCAUGAAGUUGGAAUCGCUAGUAAUCGCGAAUCAGCAUGUCGCGGUGAAUACGUUCUCGGGGUUUGUACACACCGCCCGUCAAACCACGAAAGUUGAUAAUACCC
rnacentral:rRNA from 1 species